GAGUCCUGGUCCGGGAGUGCCGCCAGCGUCUGCAGUGUGAGAACAGGAAGCCAGGGCUGAGACUGGUGGCGACCACAGGAUGGAUAUCAGAUUGGCCCAGGGGAGAGCACCUGCCACACAGAAAGAGGAGCAAUCACAAUGGGACCUUACCUGGAAGAUCUGCUUCAGUGAGAAGAGAGAGCGGCGGAGUUCAGGGCCACUGGAGCCAUACAACUUUUCUGCAAGGGUAGGU